CACCAUAAUUUCGUCCAAAGCAAUUUUACUCAGUUAUCUUUGAAUCAUAUCGUCUAAUGAUAAAAGCAUAUCAGUCUUUUAAGUUUUCACGCGCAUUUCAAAUUACAUUAUCUCUCUCAUCUUCCUCAACUCAGUUUUAUGUGCAAGGAUUUACAAAAGCAUAAAGUUUUCACACGCAUUUCAAAUUACAUUAUCUCUCUCAUCUUCCUCAACUUAAUGUGCAAAGAUUUCCGGAUACCAGAGGAGUUUCAUUUGUAGGAGAACACCAAUCAUUUGUAAGGAUCUGAUCGAAGAUCUCAAUUACACUUUAUUCUGAGUGUGAAAUUUUACUUCAGAUUCUCUUACUUAGAAGAUUCUCAAGCUCAAAUAACAUCAUCAUAGUUGGGUAUGAUACUUAUCAUCUUUGAACUUUAUUAUUAUACCACUACAUAAUUUUUCAUUAAAAAGUUAAAGAAAUAUUACAAAAAUUAAUUUGUUUUGAGCAUCAUUAUUUCAUCU